UGGGGAAUCUUGGACAAUGGGGGCAACCCUGAUCCAGCGAUGCCGCGUGGGUGAAGAAGGCCUUCGGGUUGUAAGCCCUUUAGGUUGGGAAGAAGGGGAGAUGCUGAAUAAGCAUUUUCUUUGACGGUACCGACAGAAUAAGCACCGGCAAACUCUGUGCCAGCAGCCGCGGUAAUACAGAGGGUGCGAGCGUUAAUCGGAAUCACUGGGCGUAAAGGGCGCGUAGGCGGUAGAGUGUGUGGUGUGUGAAAGCCCCGGGCUUAACCUGGGAAGUGCAUACCAAACUGCUCAACUAGAAUGCAGGAGAGGGUGGCGGAAUUUCCGGUGUAGCGGUGAAAUGCGUAGAGAUCGGAAGGAACGUCAGUGGCGAAGGCGGCCACCUGGACUGACAUUGACGCUGAGGCGCGAAAGCGUGGGGAGCGAACAG
rnacentral:rRNA from 1 species